rnacentral:rRNA from 1 species
GAGUUUGAUCUUGGCUCAGGAUGAACGCCGGCGGUGUGCCUAAUACAUGCAAGUCGUACGCACUGGCCCAACUGAUUGAUGGUGCUUGCACCUGAUUGACGAUGGAUCACCAGUGAGUGGGCGGACGGGUGAGUAACACGUAGGUAACCUGCCCCGGAGCGGGGGAUAACAUUUGGAAACAGAUGCUAAUACCGCAUAACAACAAAGGCCACAUGGCUUUUGUUUGAAAGAUGGCUUUGGCCAUCACUCUGGGAUGGACCUGCGGUGCAUUGGCUAGUUGGUAAGGUAACGGCUUACCAAGGCGAUGAUGCAUAGCCGAGUUGAGAGACUGAUCGGCCACAAUGGAACUGAGACACGGUCCAUACUCCUACGGGAGGCAGCAGUAGGGAAUCUUCCACAAUGGGCGCAAGCCUGAUGGAGCAACACCGCGUGAGUGAAGAAGGUUUCGGCUCGUAAAGCUCUGUUGUUGGAGAAGAACGUGCGUGAGAGU